GACGAACGCUGGCGGCGUGCUUAACACAUGCAAGUCGAACGGAAAGGCCUGCUUUCCCUUGUGGAUUGCGGGUACUCGAGUGGCGAACGGGUGAGUAACACGUGAGUGAUCUGCCCCCAACUUGGGUAUAAGCCUGGGAAACUGGGUCUAAUUCCCGAUAGGACUGCAGGGUGGUGCCUGUGGUGGAAAACGAUUUUCUAGUGGUUGGGGAUGAGCUCGCGGCCUAUCAGCUUGUUGGUGGGGUAAUGGCCUACCAAGGCGGCGACGGGUAGCCGGCCGGAGAGGGUGGACGGCCACAUUGGGACUGAGAUACGGCCCAGACUCCUACGGGAGGCAGCAGUGGGGAAUAUUGCACAAUGGGCGGAAGCCUGAUGCAGCGACGCCGCGUGGGGGAUGACGGCCUUCGGGUUGUAAACUCCUUUCGACCGCGAGGAAGCCACCUGGUUGGAAGGGUGGUGACGGUAGUGGUAGAAGAAGCACCGGCUAACUACGUG
rnacentral:rRNA from 1 species